rnacentral:rRNA from 1 species
AUGCGGCGGCGUUACUCCCUCCUCGAUGUGCUGUCGAUCCGCGACAUGAUGCUGCGGGACUGCUCCGCCGGUACGGUCCAACCCCCUCCCCUCUACACUUCCUCCAUAGCCCCUAACAGAACGGAAGAGGCACCCAGCCAGUCUAUCGAUGGGAUGGCAAAGGCGCAUGGCGCGGCGGCGGCUCUAUGCCCCGACGGCGGGUACACGUCGGACACGCACGACGAGGGCCGGCCGCAAGAAAAAGAAGGAGAUGGCAGACGAUUCGCCGCCACCGACCCAGGUCCCAAACCAGUGGGUCGCCACAACUCCCUGAGCGACCGCGUCAGCGAAAGCCUCUGCAUCGCCGAGGAGGAGGACGUCGCUGUCGACGACCAGAGCAAGGACCUCAUGGACUACGUAGCCCGCCCGCGUCCCAUCGUGGCCUGGGAGGAGUCAGGUAGGAGUGCAGAAAAGGGCAAGCAGGAGGCCAGGACGGCCACAAGUGAGGCAUCCAGCUCGACUUUGCCAUGCGGGCGCGCUGCACAUUCCACCCAUCGCCGGCAAAUCAUUCGUCAGCUGGGAAGAUUUUUGAUCGAUUGA